GAGAGCAUGAGCAGGGGAGGGGCGGAGAGAGAGGGAGACACAGGAUCCGAAGCAGGCUGUCCGCACAGAGCCCCAUGCAGGGCUCGAACCCACGAACUGCGAGAUCAUGACCUGAGCGGAAGUUGGAGGCUUAACCGCCUGAGCCCCCCCAGGCGCCCCUCUUACUGUGUUUUUACCGGAGCAAGUGUGAGCCUUGGCUUUCUCUCACUUCUCCCCUAGACCUCGGCUGGUCAGCCACACACACUCUGGCGACGCAACUGGAGUUUUAUCAAGGCUCCGUGUCAGGGUGUGACAUUUCACAGGAACAUGCUGUAGGGAUCCCUUGCUUUCUGUGAAAGCUCCUUGUGCAGAGACGCCACCCUUGCGUGGGGAAGGAGACCUACCUGCUCUGUCCCGUGGUGUCCUCCCUGGCGACUCCUCUCCUCAGCUGCAGCCACUUUGGCUUUUCAGGACUGGAAAAUGUCUCGGGAACUGCGCCUCUUCCCGAAGCUUGAAACCAUUUGUUCUCUGAUGCGCGGUCACUGGUGCUCCGUUUGUCCCCAAAGCGGAUGUCAUCGUGGCUCCACCAAAAUCCUAUCAAGACCUUGUCGGGGGAGGCUCGAUGGGCACGUGGCCUGUGCAGGUGCUGCACGAUCAAUGAUCUGUGGACCUCCUCGUAAACUUCUCAAUCCUUAGGGCGCCUGCGUGGCUCAGUCGGUUAAGCGUCUCACUUCGGCUCAGGUCACGAUCUCUCGGUUUGUGAGUUCGAGCCCCGCGUCGGGCUCUGUGCUGACGGCUCGGAGCCUGGAGCCUGUUUCGGAUUCUGUGUCUCCCUCUCUCUCUGCUCCUCCCCUGCUCAUACUCUGUCUCUCUCUGUCUCAAAAAUAAAUAAAACAUUAAAAGAUAAUAAUAAUAAUUUCCAAAAAAAAAAAAAAAAGAAAGAAAGUCUUAAUCCUUUGUGAACAAGAGGCCCUGGGCCCAGAAAGUUAUGUAGCUUAGUUUGGACAUUGGUCCUUAGUUUGGACAUUGGUUAACUGUGUCAUAAAGUAAACCAAGAAACAGAAAAUCCAAAAACGAAACCAAAAAACUAUGACUUUUAUAUUUCUUUUACUAAAUUCCGUUUACAGAAAUAACCCCGGAUUCUAUGUAAACGAGAUAAAAAUGUUUUCAUCCACGACCAUUGUAUUUAGGAAAAACGUGCUCCCUAAAGACGCAGGAAGCUGUUGUGGAAGGAGUAUAGUUCCAAGAGAGUCGGAGGCGUCCACGUUCAGCCCUCAGCUCUGCUGCAUUUGCCGUCUCAGGGGCUCAGCUCCCUGGGCUGGGGGCGACCGGUCCCUCCUGCAGGGCAUCCUGAGGAGACAGGGUGAUGGGAGACGUUCGCAGAGGACCCGGCACGUAGCAGUUUCAGGCUUUUAUUUUUCCAUUUCUACAGUCUGUUACAGAAUCUGCUCAGUGAGGAAGGGAAGAGAAACCGAGUCGGUCGGGCCUCCUCCUCGGAACCUUUGUGAGGCCAGCUGGCCGGAGGGAAGCGGCCUUAGGUUCGGGGCGAUGCCGGGGCCCCAGCGGCUCCAAGAGCAGGCAGAGCCCUGUUCUCGGAGAAGUUCACGUUCCGCUGCGAAGCUCAGCUGCCAGGUCCACCGAAUGUGCGCACGUUAGAAAUCGCACAAGAACCCGGAGCAGACAACACGCGUGGGAGAAAACUCAGCCCUGGACCCCCAAACCCACCCCGCAUCGAUGAGCUAGUUGGGGCCCAGAAGCUCCCGGGAAAUGAAGCUUGAAUCGUGUGAGAAUCCAGGCGUGGGGUCAAGUCUGAGCUCCGCCGCCUGGGUGACUUCAGUGAAUCACUUCUGCCUCAGUUUCCCCAAAGUUGGAGAGAGUGGUGGCGGUGAAUAACGGCCCCGGCCUCCCAGGGCCACGGAGGGCAGGAGAUCCGCUGAGGGGUCUGCCACCUCCACCCCCACCCCGGUCCCCGCAACUCUCACCGAGGACAACUUCCUCCAGUGGGGAAACAAGUGGCCUGGGCGGCAGAGAGACCAGAACCCCCACCCCCACCUGUGCUCGUGGCAGCACAGGAGACCGGUGCAUUCGGGAGAGGAGCCGUGGGUCCCCGCACUCCAAACGGAAGGGUCUGGCUUCCGGGCCAAGGAUAACGUUCCUCCCUCCAUCAGCGAUGCCAGUGAAUAACCCAGCACUGAAACCCCGGCCAAAGGACUGGGGACAGGGGAGGGCCCCACCCCUCACACCCUCAUCGUCCGCGAUCACCUCCCAGGGAGCUCCCCUUCGCUGGACCCCGCCCGGGGUGUCCUCACCAUCCGUCCUGGGACCCAGCCCCAUGUCCCCGCCCUGCUCUCGCUGGAAAAAGGGAAAAGAGAUAGGUUUGUUCUUAUUCGUUUAUGAAAAGAAAAACACGUGCUACAGAAAAUUUGGAAAUACGGGAAAGCCCCAAACAAGAAAACAAAAAUUACCCACGAGAUAAUUACUAGGUACAUUUCGACGGAAGUCCUUCUGGUGUUUUCCAAGCCAGCCAUGUAUACGUGCUGCAUAUAUGUGUGUAGGAUUAUACUAUAGGUUAUUUCACAACCGUUUUGUUCAAUAUGUCCUAAGCAUUUCGUGUCACCAAAUAGUAACCUCUAUAGGAUUUGGAAAAUAAAUACCAAGAAUUUUAAAAUUAA